rnacentral:rRNA from 1 species
AACGAACGCUGGCGGCAGGCUUAACACAUGCAAGUCGAACGCUCCGCAAGGGGAGUGGCGCACGGGUGCGUAACGCGUGGGGAUCUGCCCUUCUGUUCGGAACAACACCGGGAAACUGGUGCUAAUACCGGAUACACCAUCGGGUCAUGGUAGGCCCAAUGGGAAAGAUUUAUCGCAGAAGGAUGAACCCGCGUCUGAUUAGCUAGUUGGUGAGGUAACGGCUCACCAAGGCUACGAUCAGUAGCUGGUCUGAGAGGAUGAUCAGCCACACUGGAACUGAGACACGGUCCAGACUCCUACGGGAGGCAGCAGUGGGGAAUAUUGGACAAUGGGCGAAAGCCUGAUCCAGCCAUGCCGCGUGAGUGAUGAAGGCCUUCGGGUUGUAAAGCUCUUUUGGGUGGGACGAUGAUGACGGUACCACCAGAAUAAGAUCCGGCAAACUUCGUGCCAGCAGCCGCAGUAACAC